UAUGUACAUAGAUACAACAUGG
rnacentral:piRNA from 1 species